ACUCUACGGGAGGCAGCAGUGGGGAAUCUUGCACAAUGGAGGAAACUCUGAUGCAGCGAUGCCGCGUGAGUGAAGAAGGCCCUUGGGUUGUAAAGCUCUUUCGUCGGGGAAGAAAAUGACUGUACCCGAAUAAGAAGGUCCGGCUAACUUCGUGCCAGCAGCCGCGGUAAUACGAAGGGACCUAGCGUAGUUCGGAAUUACUGGGCUUAAAGAGUUCGUAGGUGGUUGAAAAAGUUAGUGGUGAAAUCCCAGAGCUUAACUCUGGAACUGCCAUUAAAACUUUUCAGCUAGAGUAUGAUAGAGGAAAGCAGAAUUUCUAGUGUAGAGGUGAAAUUCGUAGAUAUUAGAAAGAAUACCAAUUGCGAAGGCAGCUUUCUGGAUCAUUACUGACACUGAGGAACGAAAGCAUGGGUAGCGAAGAGGAUUAGAUACCCUCGUAGUCCAUGCCGUAAACGAUGUGUGUUAGACGUUGGAAAUUUAUUUUCAGUGUCGCAGGGAAACCGAUAAACACACCGCCUGGGGAGUACGACCGCAAGGUUAAAACUCAAAUGAAUUGACGGGGACCCGCACAAGUAGUGGAGCAUGUGGUUUAAUUCGAAGAUACGCGCAGAACCUUACCAACACUUGACAUGUUCGUCGCGACUCUAAGAGAUUAGAGUUUUCGGUUCGGCCGGACGAAACACAGGUGCUGCAUGGCUGUCGUCAGCUCGUGUCGUGAGAUGUUGGGUUAAGUCCCGCAACGAGCGCAACCCUCACUUUUAGUUGCCAUCAUUAAGUUGGGCACUCUGAAAGAACUGCCAGUGAUA
rnacentral:rRNA from 1 species